UGGGGAAUAUUGCACAAUGGGGGAAACCCUGAUGCAGCAACGCCGCGUGAAGGACGAAGGCUUUCGGGUCGUAAACUUCUAUCAGUAGGGAAUAAUAAUGAAGUUACCUAACUAAGAAGCCCCGGCUAACUACGUGCCAGCAGCCGCGGUAAUACGUAGGGGGCAAGCGUUAUCCGGAAUUACUGGGUGUAAAGGGUGAGUAGGCGGUUAGACAAGUCAUAUGUGAAAAUUCUAUGCUCAACGUAGAACGUGCAUAAGAAACUGUCUGACUAGAGUACAGGAGAGGUAAGCGGAAUUCCUAGUGUAGCGGUGAAAUGCGUAGAUAUUAGGAAGAACACCGGUGGCGAAGGCGGCUUACUGGACUGAAACUGACGCUGAGUCACGAAAGCGUGGGGAGCAAACA
rnacentral:rRNA from 1 species